rnacentral:rRNA from 1 species
AACGAACGCUGGCGGCAGGCUUAACACAUGCAAGUCGAACGGGCCCUUCGGGGUCAGUGGCAGACGGGUGAGUAACGCGUGGGAACGUGCCCUUCAGUUCGGGAUAACCCAGGGAAACUUGGGCUAAUACCGGAUACGUGCGAGAGCAGAAAGAUUUAUCGCUGAAGGAUCGGCCCGCGUCUGAUUAGCUGGUUGGUGGGGUAAUGGCCCACCAAGGCGACGAUCAGUAGCUGGUCUGAGAGGAUGAUCAGCCACAUUGGGACUGAGACACGGCCCAAACUCCUACGGGAGGCAGCAGUGGGGAAUAUUGGACAAUGGGCGCAAGCCUGAUCCGGCCAUGCCGCGUGAGUGAUGAAGGCCUUAGGGUUGUAAAGCUCUUUCGGCGGGGACGAUAAUGACGGUACCCGCAGAAGAAGCCCCGGCUAACUUCGUGCCAGCCGCCGCUGUAA